UACGAAGGGUGCAAGCGUUACUCGGAAUUACUGGGCGUAAAGCGUGCGUAGGUGGUUUGUUAAGUCUGAUGUGAAAGCCCUGGGCUCAACCUGGGAAUUGCAUUGGAUACUGGCAGGCUAGAGUGCGGUAGAGGAUGGCGGAAUUCCCGGUGUAGCAGUGAAAUGCGUAGAGAUCGGGAGGAACAUCCGUGGCGAAGGCGGCCAUCUGGGCCAGCACUGACACUGAGGCACGAAAGCGUGGGGAGCAAACAGG
rnacentral:rRNA from 1 species